UGCAGUCCUUCAUUGCUAAAUUAUUUGUCCAUGUUCUCUGCCCACCGAAAUAUAUCAAAACUGCCUUUUAUUUUACUUGGUUAGUCACUGUAAAUUUUAGAUAACCCAAAUCUGAGGCCCUGGGCCGAGGAAGGGAAAGUCAUAAUAUAAAUCAAUUUAUAGUUUGACUCGGCAAAAAAAUCUUCUCUGCUGACUACCCAGAUUGACCACUGUGAUGCCCACAUGAAGUCUGCUAAUGGAUUUUUAUCACAGUGGAUCCUUUCUUAGCCUUUUCAACAUAUGAUGUACGACUCAAUCU
rnacentral:lncRNA from 1 species